rnacentral:rRNA from 1 species
GACGAACGCUGGCGGCGUGCCUAAUACAUGCGAGUUGAGCGCUGAAGGUUGGUACUUGUACCAACUGGAUGAGCAGCGAACGGGUGAGUAACGCGUGGGGAAUCUGCCUUUGAGCGGGGGACAACAUUUGGAAACGAAUGCUAAUACCGCAUAAAAACUUUAAACACAAGUUUUAAGUUUGAAAGAUGCAAUUGCAUCACUCAAAGAUGAUCCCGCGUUGUAUUAGCUAGUUGGUGAGGUAAAGGCUCACCAAGGCGAUGAUACAUAGCCGACCUGAGAGGGUGAUCGGCCACAUUGGGACUGAGACACGGCCCAAACUCCUACGGGAGGCAGCAGUAGGGAAUCUUCGGCAAUGGACGAAAGUCUGACCGAGCAACGCCGCGUGAGUGAAGAAGGUUUUCGGAUCGUAAAACCCUGUUGGUAGAGAAGAACGUUGGUGAGAGUGGAAAGCUCAUCAAGUGACGGUAACUACCCAGAAAGGGACGGCUAACUACGUG